CAGGGGAACCUGAUCUGCGAUGCCGCGUGAGUGAAGAAGGUCUUUGGAUUGUAAAGCUCUUUUAUGGGGGAAGAUAAUGACGGUACCCUAGGAAAAAGCUCCGGCUAACUUCGUGCCAGCAGCCGCGGUAAUACGAAGGGAGCUAGCGUUGUUCGGAAUAACUGGGCGUAAAGGGUGCGUAGGUGGUGAUAUAAGUCAGUUGUGAAAGGUCUGGGCUUAACCUGGGAUUGGCAAUUGAUACUGUAUUACUUGAGUAUGGAAGGGGAGAACGGAAUUGCGCAUGGAGAGGUGAAAUUCGUAGAUAUGCGUAGGAACACCGGUGGUGAAGACGGUUCUCUGGUACAAUACUGACACUGAGGCACGAAAGCGUGGGGAGCAAACAGGAUUAGAUACCCUGGUAGUCCACGCCGUAAACGAUGAGUGCUAGAUGUUGGGACGUUAAGUUUCGGUGUCGAAGUUAACACGAUAAGCACUCCGCCUGGGGAGUACGGUCGCAAGAUUAAAACUCAAAGGAAUUGACGGGGACCCGCACAAGCGGUGGAGUAUGUGGUUUAAUUCGAAGCUACGCGAAGAACCUUACCAACCUUUGACAUGGGGCACGAGAUUUGAGAGAUCAAGUCGUCAUUAGUUGGGGUCACACAGGUGUUGCAUGGUGGCGUCACUCGUGUCGGAGAUGUGGGUUAGUCCGCACGAGGCACCUUUAUUAUGGACAGGUGGUGGCCUUAUG
rnacentral:rRNA from 1 species